AGUGAACGCUGGCGGUAGGCCUAACACAUGCAAGUCGAACGGCAGCACAGUAAGAGCUUGCUCUUACGGGUGGCGAGUGGCGGACGGGUGAGGAAUACAUCGGAAUCUACUUUUUCGUGGGGGAUAACGUAGGGAAACUUACGCUAAUACCGCAUACGACCUACGGGUGAAAGCAGGGGAUCUUCGGACCUUGCGCGACUGAAUGAGCCGAUGUCGGAUUAGCUAGUUGGCGGGGUAAAGGCCCACCAAGGCGACGAUCCGUAGCUGGUCUGAGAGGAUGAUCAGCCACACUGGAACUGAGACACGGUCCAGACUCCUACGGGAGGCAGCAGUGGGGAAUAUUGGACAAUGGGCGCAAGCCUGAUCCAGCCAUACCGCGUGGGUGAAGAAGGCCUUCGGGUUGUAAAGCCCUUUUGUUGGGAAAGAAAAGCAGCAGGUUAAUACCCCGCUGUUCCGACGGUACCCAAAGAAUAAGCACCGGCUAACUUCGUG
rnacentral:rRNA from 1 species